AAAAGAAGGGCCCUAAUGAAAUGCAUAGAGGGAUCUGCGUGAACACAGACCUCUUUAACCCUUUUGGUGUUACUGUUAGUGGAAGAGAAGGAUGCUUGGGGAUUUGCAAUCAUAGCUAGGUAGGUUCACUCUGAAGUAGAACCACCUCUUAAUUGAUUCAGGCCUCUUUUGCUUCCAAUUCUGGAAACAAACAAAAUAAAUGGCCUACAAAUAAUUUAAUGCAGCUUAUGGUUAAGUGACUAAAGCAAAUACUUGCCUGGAUUUUAUCCUAAUAGGCAGUUCUUUCCCUUUGUCCUAUUUAGGGUCUUGUCUCCCAUAAACAGCAGGAAUGUGAUUUGAUUAGGAGGUAUUGAUGUUAAUUGAGCACCCAGUGUUUUAAGGAAGCAGAUGACUUGGCAGCUGGGACGUUGUCACCAGCUAUCAGAGAGAUGAACUGGAAAAGAUUCUAGAGCUUAUGCAAACUUGAAUAACA
rnacentral:lncRNA from 1 species